GGAAGUUGAAUACAGGAUCCCACUUGUGCCCCCCCAUAACUCUUUUGAUAGAUGAUCCAAUUUCGUUGACUGUUUCGGUUGCAUCAUUCAGAGGAUAAUUGCAAUACAAUAUUGUUGUUAUGAACUAAACAUCGAAAAGAUAAAAUCAAAACUGGAAAGAUGAACGAGAUCAAACUGUGAAGUAUUGUGAUUAUCUUGUUGGCAAAUCAGGAUCACUGUAGUUUACAAGCCCGGUACUACCACACUGAUGUCCCCCUCGAGCAGUCGACAAAAGAAAUUGGGCAUCAACCGAACAAAAAAUUCAUAAAGUGAGUCAUAUCUUGGUUGGAGGAUUCAAAACUUCAAAAUCACUAUCUAUCAAUAAAAAAAAAUUGUUUUUCUCUAUGAGAGUUAUUAGGGUUUUAGCCAUUAUGAACGUAGGAUAAACAAAGAGUGAUAGUAGGGUUUAAUUAUAGUGUUUGGGUUUAUUGAUAAAUUUGAGUUUUAUUAUUAAUUUCAUUUUGUACUUAAUAGUAAUUAUGCAAUAGGGUAAAAUAGACAAUUAACAUUUAAAAUUUAAGUGGGGUGUAAAAAGAGGUUAAAUGGGUUUAAAUAAAAUUUCUCAAAAAAAAAAUAUGUGAAAAGUAAAACUAUGCCACAAAUUCAAAGUAAGUCAAACAUUUACUUACCAUGAGCAAGGCUUUGAGAUGAGUCAUGGUGAAAGGCGUCUUGGAAUCUCCUCCUUCCUUCUUUAAUUUCAACAAAAACGUCAAAAAAUCCUUAUUCCCCUCCUCCCCUUCCUUGUCAAUCCUCAGCCG
rnacentral:lncRNA from 1 species